rnacentral:rRNA from 1 species
ACCCGCUGAACUUAAGCAUAUAAUUAAGCGGAGGAAAAGAAACUAACCAGGAUUCCCCUAGUAACGGCGAGUGAAGCGGGAAGAGUUCAAGCCUAAAAUCUCCAGUGUUCCACUGGCGAAUUGUAGUCUAUGGGUCAUGUGUGCGUGAGGCACCGAGGGUAAAUUCCUUGGAAUGGGAUCCUACAGAGGGUGAGAGGCCCGUAUGUACCUCGUGUGCCGAACUUCAGUCAUGCAAGUCCUCAGAGUCGGGUUGCUUGGGAGUGCAGCUCUAAGUGGGAGGUAAAUUUCUUCUAAAACUAAAUACGGGCGAGAGACCGAUAGCGUACAAGUACCGUGAGGGAAAGAUGAAAAGGACUUUGAAAAGAGAGUUAAAAGUGCUUGAAACUGUUAAGGGCUAACCGCAUGGGAAGAGCGUAUUGUGUUUGUGACACUUAGGGCUGAUGGUGUGCGCUGGCGGCUCGAGUUGGGUCAAACCGCUCGUGUCGAUUGUUGUAUAUUGUUGGUCUGCACUUGUCGCAUUCACAGGUCAAGCUGGCUUCUAUGCCGGUGGGAAAAUGGCUAAAGUGCGCGUCGUGUGCUUGCAUGCGUCGGUCUUGGCUGAUACCACCGGAAGGGGUGAGGAAUCAAGCGUUGUCAUCGCCGCUGCGGUUGGCUGCUUUGUUGAAGCCGGUAGCACUGCCUCUGGUAUGUGUUGCUGGCCUCUUCGGGGCACUCCGGCUGAACAGGGACUUGCUCGCUGAGGAGCUUGACUUGAUCUUUCCAUUCGACCCGUCUUGAAACACGGACCAAGGAGUCUAACAUAUAUGCGAGUGUUUGGGUGGCAAACCCCUACGCGGAAUGAAAGUAACUAGGUGGGAUCCCGUUUGGGUGCACCAUCAACCGACCAUGAUCCUUGUGUGAAAGGUUUGAGUAAGAGCAUAUCUGUUGGGACCCGAAAGAUGGUGAACUAUGCCUGAGCAGGGCGAAGCCAGGGGAAACUCUGGUGGAGGCUCGCAGCGAUACUGACGUGCAAAUCGUUCGUCAAACUUGGGUAUAGGGGCGAAAGACUAAUCGAACCAUCUAGUAGCUGGUUCCCUCCGAAGUUUCCCUCAGGAAAGG